UACAGAGGGUGCGAGCGUUAAUCGGAAUUACUGGGCGUAAAGCGUGCGUAGACGGUUAUUUAAGUCGGAUGUGAAAGCCCCGGGCUCAACCUGGGAAUUGCAUUCGAGACUGAAUAGCUAGGGUGCGGUAGAGGGAAGCGGAAUUUACGGUGUAGCGGUGAAAUGCGUAGAUAUCGUAAGGAAGACCAGUGGCGAAGGCGGGUCUCUGGACAGUUCCUGACGCUGAGGCACGAAGGCCAGGGGAGCAAACGGG
rnacentral:rRNA from 1 species